rnacentral:lncRNA from 1 species
UAAAUUCUGUCACUUUGAUUCACAUACUCAUAAUUUACUAACAUAUCCUGUCAAACACAAUCUCUGAAUGACAAAAUUACAUAAUUGAGCUCAAUAAUAAUAAUGAUAACAUUACUUACAUUUCUUUUUCCACACGUUACAUUUACGACUUACCAACUUGUCCAUUCAAGGAACGGCUUACGGAUUUGAGUACAUCGUGAUUUGAAGCCCGAAAUCUAGCUGAAGCACAUAAGUGCUAAAUGGAAGCCCAAAGGCUAACUGAAGCACAUAAGUGCUAAAUGGAAGCCCGAAGACUAAUUGAAGCUCACCAGAGCUAAACUAAAACCCCAAAAGGGUUAACUGAAACUCAUAUGAGUUAACGAAAGCUCAUAAGAGCUAAACGGAAAGCAAACACGAGAAUUCGCAACAAAUGUUGAAUCUCGGUUUACUUGGAUAAUUUACCAUCAAUUCAUCUUUUUCACUGAAAGAUCAUACUCAUUUCCUGCGUUCCAUUCCUCCGAAAUUCUCAGUUCAAUUUCAUAACUUUUGUACAUAAUUUACUUAUUUUCAACAAUUAACAUACAUAAAUAUUAAUUACCAUUCAUAAAAUAAUAUUGAAAUUUAAUGAUAUUAACAAAUGGUCACUAAAUUUAGUUAUAUAAACUCACAAGUUCGAUUUUUGUAUUAUAGCGACAAUCAUAAUUUCAUAAUAAAUAUUCCAAAUAAAAUAUUAUAUCGUUUCUAAUUCAACACUUAUUGAUUAUAAUCGGGCAUGUGAUCAAUUUAUACACGAGUCAUUCAUAUAUUUUUCCUCCUCCUCCUCUCCAUCCACAUCCUUGGUAUAAAUAACACACUUCUAAGUAACAUUAUCCAUAAUUUUCACUAAUUACUUAUAUGAAUAUUUAAGCUAUCCACCAGUGUCAUAGUCACUAAAUUAUUUAUAUCUGAAGCUACGAAACUCCAAAUUAAGAUCCACUAAUUUUUCCUAAAACUAGAUUCGCAUAUCUUCUUACCAUAAAAUUUUCAUAAUUUUUGGUUGGGCCAAUUAAUACAGUUUAUUCAUUGAAGUCUCCCCUGUUCUGCUGUCUGACAGUUCUGACCCUUCUUCACUAAAAAUUAAUUAUCUUCUCGUACAGGAUUUGAAUGAUGUUCCCGUUUGUUUCUCUUGAAAAUAGACUCAUUUAGGAUUCUAAACAUAUAAAUUUAAGCCCCUAAUUAUUUAUAUCAAAUUUUUGAUGAUUUUACAAAGUCAAAACAGGGGAACCCGAAAUCAUUCAGACCUUGUCUCACAACAUUUAUCAUAUCUCAUGAUUUACAAUUCCAUUGUUUACAUCAUUCCUUCUAUAAAAAACUAGACUCAAUAAGCUUUAAUUUUAUAUUUUAUUCAUCCUCUAAUUCCAUUUCUAAAAUUUUUGGUGAUUUUUCAAAGUUAGACUAAUGCUGCUGUUCAAAACAAUUUUAGUGCAAAAUGUUGAUUUCCAUUUUGCCCCAAAUUUUACAAUUCAUACAAUUCAGUCCUUGCUCAAUUAACCCCUCAAUUAAGAUAAUUUUCUCAAUUAAUAUUUUUCCUAAACAUUAUAAGUUAUUUCAUAAUUAUUGAAAUUCAGAAUUUCCACAUAAAACUCUAACUUCAAACUCUUUUACAAUUAGGUCCCAAACAUUCACUUUCUAUUCAAUUCUUUCAAUAAAAUCAACAUAUAAACAGUUUAAAGCUCUAAUUCCAUGCCAAAUCAUCAUAUAAUUCCAGAUAUGCAUAGAAACUUUCAAUUUCUUUCAUAGAAUCAAAAACUAAUGAAUUCAACAAGUGGACCUAGUUGUAAAAGUCACAAAAACACAAAAAUUUUAAGAAAUAAUUAAGAAUUGAACUUACUUGAAGUAAAAAUAUGAAAAACCAGCUUAAUAGAACUCUUCCAUGGCGUUUUUCUGAUGAGAAUG